GGAGAGGUGGCAGAGCGGCUGAAUGCGGCGGUUUGCUAAACCGUUGUAGGGGCUAAAACCUCUACCGGGGGUUCGAAUCCCCCCCUCUCCGCCA
rnacentral:tRNA from 1 species